rnacentral:rRNA from 1 species
UACAGAGGGUGCAAGCGUUGUUCGGAAUUAUUGGGCGUAAAGGGAGUGUAGGCGGUUUGUUAAGUCUUCUGUGAAAUCUACGGGCUUAGCCUGUAAAGUGCAGAGGAAACUGGCAAGCUUGAGUGUCGGAGAGGGUAGUGGAAUUCCCGGUGUAGAGGUGAAAUUCGUAGAGAUCGGGAGGAACACCAGUGGCGAAGGCGGGUCUCUGGGCAGUAACUGACGCUGAGGAGCGAAAGCGUGGGGAGCGAACAGG